GCGGCCCCAGCCAUGCGCGCUCGCUACGUGCCUGGCGGAGUACUUUGCUGACGCUUAUCAUAGGCUGCAGCACGGUAGGCUCCACGGCGAGUCCUACAUUACCGCUAUCGCGCGCUCCUUAGGGAUCGUACCCGAGAGUGACUCGUUGCUGUCCCCGGUCAUUCUGCCGAAUACAUUAGGCCGUGCGUCAGUAUCAAGCAUUCGUUUGACGCACAUGUUUGACGGGAUUGGCCUGCGGUUUUGGACGCGCGAUUACCAGGUUUUUCAACCCGAGGUGUUACCGGAGGUGAUCCCAGUUGUUAUUGAGCUUAGGGAUGGAGUACUAGCGCCUCCGGCUGUUCAGGCUGCAGCUCGACAGGCUCAACUUGAGGCUCUAGGUCUGGAUCAGCCUGAGGAUCAGGCUCAGGCUCAGCCUUCGCCUCCACCACAUUCGCCUCCAUCUGAUCGCGUCAUUGACGACGAGAUCCCACUACCGCCGCCGCCACCUCCGCACCCACCGCAGUACCCACAGCACGUCUAUGCAGACCUGCCUCAUGCUGCACAGGCGGUGGCUCGGGACUUCGAUCGGCGCCUCCGACGUUCUGAGCGAUACCAGAUGUGGAUCAUAGAGAUGCUUAUGGAGCUCCGGGCUCACGCGGGAUUGCCGCCCUAUCCACUGCCAUCGUCCCCACCGCCAGAGGAUCCGUAGC
rnacentral:lncRNA from 1 species